UUUCUAAAUAGGUUAGGUAAGAGUUUUGUUGAUGCACUGAAAUGACGUGCUGGAACAUGUUAUGAGUUGAUUACUCACCCUUCUCCCAGGAAAUCCUGGAAGCCUUUCCACAUUCUACUUUGACCAGUGGCGCAGGCAUUAAACAGCCCCUUCUCCAUAUGGACGCCCGGACAGAUAACAGUAGCAGUAGUACUGUUGUUGCUGCAAUGGUCUACAGUCAUAGGCAAGACAAGAUAUUUAAGUUAACCUCCUGUUACUCUGUGGUCUGUGGAUAAUACAUAGUUAACGGAUGAAGCACUGAGGUGUCAUGACAGCAUUAAAUAUGAAGGAGUAUACUGUCUUAUGUUCCUUGAAACUAAAAAGGAACUGGAAUAUACUGAUCCUCUUAAGCUUUAGAGUUUGAAUCCCGAAGAAGAUGUUUUCAUGUAAUUUGUUUUAAUAAACUUUGUGAGCUCAAGGGGAACA
rnacentral:lncRNA from 1 species